AGGGGAGCGGAGCGGCAUCGCCGUCCCGGCUGUGGCAGCGGCGGGCGAGGCGGAGCAGGGGCUGCAGCAGCGAGAGCAAUGGCGCUGUCCGUGCCGGUCAACGGGCUGAAGGAAGGCGACAAGGAGCCCGUCAUCGAGCUCUUCGUCAAGGCUGGCAGUGAUGGUGAGAGCAUAGGAAACUGCCCCUUCUCCCAGAGGCUCUUCAUGAUCCUGUGGCUGAAGGGAGUCGUGUUCAGUGUCACAACAGUGGACCUGAAGAGGAAACCAGCAGACCUCCAGAAUCUGGCUCCAGGCACUCACCCCCCCUUCAUCACAUACAACGGGGAGGUGAGAACAGAUGUGAACAAGAUUGAAGAGUUCCUGGAAGAUGUCCUGGCCCCACCCAAGUACCUGAAACUCUCACCAAAGCACCCAGAAUCCAACACUGCUGGAAUGGAUAUAUUUGCCAAAUUUUCUGCUUUUAUCAAGAACUCCAGACCAGAAGCUAAUGAAGCCUUAGAGCGUGGCCUCUUGAAAACCCUGCAGAAGCUGGAUGAGUACCUGAACUCACCCCUGCCCGAUGAGAUCGAUGAGAACAGCCUGGAGGACGUCACCGUCUCCACGCGCAAAUUCCUGGAUGGCAACGAGAUGACCUUGGCCGACUGCAACCUGCUGCCCAAACUGCACAUUGUCAAGGUGGUGGCCAAAAAAUACCGCAACUUUGAGAUUCCCAAGGAGAUGACAGGGAUCUGGAGAUACCUGACAAAUGCUUACAGCAGGGAUGAGUUCACCAACACCUGUCCUGGAGACAAGGAGAUUGAAAUAGCUUACAGUGAUGUAGCCAAGAGACUCACCAAGUAACCAGCACCUGCAAACCAGGUCCUGCAUAUCCCAUAACAAUGCUUCUAACAGACUGCUCUUUUCAUAUCAAUAGCAAUUGGUUUUUGCAUGAACUCGCAGUUACUCCAAGCCACGUGGAUAGACCAGCACUGGCUUUCUGAAAACCAGCCUGACUUUUCUAAGCCUCCUGCUUUUGCUACUUUAUUGUACCCAUGGAGUUAGUUGGACAUAGAAGAGGUAGAGAACCAGAUCCAUAUUUGUAUCCCUGGCUUGUGGUGCCUUGCCUUGCCUUCCUAGAGCUAGAAUUCCAAUAUAAAGGCACUUAGCAAUCCUGUCACAUCUCUUUCAAAGGCAACUCUCUUAGAUACACUUAACCCCUGUUCUGAUUUGUUUCAGGAAUGUUCAGGCACAGAGGGAAAUCCUGGGGAGUGGCCUGGUUAGGAGAACCUUGGCUGUAGCCCUUCAUUAAUUACUGUGUUCUAAUGUCACGUUCCCCUCCUCAGUAAAGUUCCUCAGCCAUCAGAAUCCUCUGUAGGGCUUCAGUCUCUGCUACAACGUGACAUCUAGAAAAAGGAAUGACUUUUUAAUUGAGAUAACAGCAUUUUCAAUGACACACAGGGUGAAGAAACCCCAGACCCAACCCUCCUUGGUUUGGUGCUCUUGGCCACCACAGAGGUCACAAAGCUGUAGGAAGCACCUGAUUGUGGGCAUAUCUUUGAAAGGAGACCUAAAAACUUCACAAAAGCAGGUCAGGAUGGCCCUUGGAAGUUGUGGUGGUGGGGUUUGGAGUCAGGCUGUGCUCCCUUCCCCAGGGAAUUGUCCCUGGAGUGCAGAGAGCAGGGCACCCACAGCCAGGAGCUGCUGCAAGCAGGGCACCCACAGCCAGGAGCUGCUGCAAGCAGCUCCCACCCCUUAAACAGCAGCUCAGGCUGCUUCUGGCACCAUUCAGACCCCUUGGAACCAGUGCCCUCCUCCCUCAGAGCUUUAACUGUGUCUGAGAGCUUGCAGACAGAGUCCAGCUGUGCCCAGUGGGUUCCUGAUCUCACCCAGAGCAGCCUUUCCCUCGGAGCUGGGAUCCCAAUGAGCUCCAGCCCGGCAUGGGAACUGUCCUGGGUGUCUCUCAGGCUUCCUGCUGCAGUUUUGUUGUGGCAGGAGCUGCCCAGCCCCUCCUGGCUCGGGGAGGGAGCAGGGACCCGGUGGAGAGGAGCAGCUCCAGCCCCACAGGUGAUCCCUGCAGAGCAGGGGAACGGCAGCGUCUGCUGUGGGCAGAGCACUUUCAUCUGGCCCCAAUCACCAGCUCCACACUAAUUAAAAAAGCCCUUUCAUAACUAUGUAAAUUCUUGACUUCUGUCAACUUGUUUACAAUCUGAUCUUUAAAUGCAUUUUUAAUUUCAUCAAACAGCAAUUAAUCUACCCCCUGUUUAAAUUUAAAAUGCUGCUUCUAGCCCCUUCUCCAAUUUAAAAACAGCAGUUACCCUUUCAAGUAGGCAUUCCAGUUUGCAAGUUGGUUGCAUGUAUUAGCAUGCUGAAUAACUUUCUUUAUUCUCAAGCUGAAAUAUGCUUGAAUUCGCAUUAAAACAGGUGACUUGUGUAUUUCCUGAACACCAGGGGAAAAUCCAUCACCUGCACCUUGUUUUUGUGUGGGAGAACAGAUUAUCCUAGGUGCAUUAUUAUUUUUAGUUUUUCCCCUUAAAGCUUUUCUUUCUUGAGGAGAUCCCUGCUGUGGAAAUGCUGCCUGUGGAACAAGAGGUGUGUGGGACUUGUGGAACAAUUUCACCCUGUCCAUCCCUUCCCUGGAUGGCCCACAAGGGCAGCCCCAGCUUGCAGCUUUGCAUUUUCCCAUAAAAUCAGUGUUUUCUCCACACUGGGCAUGUCCAAACUGAUCCAGAGCUGCGUGAUAAGGAGAGAGAUGUAAUCAAAUUUUUAUGCUAAAGCAGCAAAUUAGCAUUUGGUAUCAAAGGAGCACAGACAGGAGUAAAUGGGAGCUGCUGGAGCCAAACCCACUGAUGCCUAUCUGGGUGCAGAACAAAAAGCGGUGAAGUGCAGCCAACUCUGCUGCUCUCCCUUUGCCACUCAGAAGCAUCUGAACCCAUCCAGUGAGGGUUUUUCAGGAGAAGGCUGAAACCCAAGUGAGAAAUGCUCCAUUGCCUCAGCACCUGUGCCACCAGCUCCUGAGUUUGGUUUCUGCAGGGGGGGGAGCAGGGUGAGGGGAUGGAGCCUCCCAGGACAGGACAUCAAGGAUUGGAGCGUGGUUUGCAGAAAUACUUGAAGAGUUGAUACAAUUUGUUGUAGUUUGCUUAUGUCUUUCACUUUCUGGAACAUCUUUUACAGAUAUACCAGUAUACUGCUGGCAGCUAUUGUUAAAUAAAAUUAUAUUUUCACUACCAA